ACGAACGCUGGCGGCGUGCUUAACACCUGCAAGUCGAACGGAAAGGCCCUGCUUUUGUGGGGUGCUCGAGUGGCGAACGGGUGAGUAACACGUGAGUAACCUGCCCUUGACUUUGGGAUAACUUCAGGAAACUGGGGCUAAUACCGGAUAGGAGCUCCUGCUGCAUGGUGGGGGUUGGAAAGUUUCGGCGGUUGGGGAUGGACUCGCGGCUUAUCAGCUUGUUGGUGGGGUAGUGGCUUACCAAGGCUUUGACGGGUAGCCGGCCUGAGAGGGUGACCGGCCACAUUGGGACUGAGAUACGGCCCAGACUCCUACGGGAGGCGGCAGUGGGGAAUAUUGCACAAUGGGCGGAAGCCUGAUGCAGCAACGCCGCGUGCGGGAUGACGGCCUUCGGGUUGUAAACCGCUUUCGCCUGUGACGAAGCGUGAGUGACGGUAAUGGGUAAAGAAGCACCGGCUAACUACGUG
rnacentral:rRNA from 1 species